rnacentral:lncRNA from 1 species
GAUAAAUAAAGUGUAUAUAACAAUGAAGGAGAAGAAGAAUUAAAUUCUGCAGAGUUUCUCUCUGCCCACAAACUGUGGAAAACUUGUUAUUCACUUUGCAACUGCAAAAUACUGUGAAUACAAUAUGUUGGGAAUACAAUAUGUUGUGAAUACAAUAUGUUGUGAAUACAAUAUGUUAUGAAUACAAUAUGUUGUGAAUACUCUAUUCACCUCUAUAUGAA